rnacentral:rRNA from 1 species
GAUGAACGCUGGCGGCGUGCCUAAUACAUGCAAGUCGAGCGAACGGACGAGAAGCUUGCUUCUCUGAUGUUAGCGGCGGACGGGUGAGUAACACGUGGAUAACCUACCUAUAAGACUGGGAUAACUUCGGGAAACCGGAGCUAAUAACGGAUAAUAUUUUGAACCGCAUGGUUCAAAAGUGAAAGACGGUAUUGCUGUCACUUAUAGAUGGAUACGCGCGGCAUUCGCUAGUUGGUAAGGUAACGGCUUACCAAGGCAACGAUGCAUAGCCGACCUGAGAGGGUCAUCGGCCACACUGGAAGUGAGACACGGUCCAGACUCCGAGGGGAGGCAGCAGUAGGGAAUCUUCCGCAAUGGACGAAUGCCUGACGGAGCAACACCGCGUGAGGGAUGAAGGUCUUCGGAUCGUAAAACUCUGUUAGUAGGGAAGAACAUAUGUGUAAGUAACAGUGAACAUCUUGACGGUACCUAAUCAGAAAGCCACGGCUAACUACGUG